AUCCCCUCGACCACUCCUUUGGCGCUUCGCUGUCGACCGUGCGCUUCUUCUAGCCCAGUGAUCAGUCAUGGCAUGCCCUCUGGAUCAGGCCAUUGGCCUUCUCGUGGCCAUCUUCCACAAGUACUCUGGCAAGGAAGGUGACAAGCACACCCUGAGCAAGAAGGAGCUGAAGGAGUUGAUCCAGAAGGAGCUCACCAUUGGCUCCAAGCUGCAGGAUGCUGAAAUUGCAAGGCUGAUGGAUGAUCUGGACCGUAACAAGGAUCAGGAAGUAAACUUCCAGGAGUAUGUCGCCUUCCUGGGGGCCUUGGCUUUGAUCUACAAUGAAGCUCUGAAAUAAAAUGGGACCGUUGAGAUGACUUCCGGGGGCCUCUCUCGGUCAAAUCCAGUGGUUUGACACAUUUUCCCUGAUUGAUGCUAUCUUUUUCACCUUAUUGGCAUACCCACAUCCAACCAGUCAGGCCCAGCUGGCACCCUGGCACUUCUAUGAAUCCUCGAUUCCAGAGCUGCUGUAGGAGCCCACCAGGGAAGAACAGAAGGAAGACUUCAAAGCCUGCUCCCUGGCCCUGGCCUGCAGCUGUGCUCCAGAUGUCCCUGGUUUCUUCAGAAGUUCUUCCUGAAGACUUAAGUGUCUGGCUUUUAGCUGGCUUGCUCAUUGAAGAAGGAAGAGUGCCUUCCAUAAUCACCAGGGACACAGAGAGGAAGGUCCUUGGGUCUUAGGCAGGAAGCUUGCUGGAUUCCGGGACUUGAGCAGCUGCAGGUGGGGGACCUGUGCGCAUCUCAUCCUUCAAGGCUCCCCUUGCCUGGUGGGCUAUGGAAGGGAAUUUUCUUCUGCAACUGUUUGUACUCUCUGAGACUUGGCUUCUAAGCCUGGAAGCCCCAAACGUUCAGAUCUUGACACUUGAGAGACCUGUGACUCCAGCUUUGGACACCUGUUGUUCCAGAGACCUUCCACUCCUGCCUUCUGGAGACAGAAGACUUGCUGCUUCUGUUAUUCCCACUGCUGACCUGCAGGGUUGCUCUGCAAGGCUCUGCUCUUUAUUGGCACUCAAAGGACUCCAGCCUUUGAGGUCAGAGUUAGCAUGGACACCUGUUUCAACUUUUAUCUCAUUUAAAGGGAACGAACAAUAAAGUACCCCCAGUUUGUGCUCUUCA